rnacentral:miRNA from 1 species
UAGUACGGAAAAGAUAUGGGGA